rnacentral:rRNA from 1 species
GAUGAACGCUGGCGGCGUGCCUAAUACAUGCAAGUCGAGCGAACGGACGAGAAGCUUGCUUCUCUGAUGUUAGCGGCGGACGGGUGAGUAACACGUGGAUAACCUACCUAUAAGACUGGGAUAACUUCGGGAAACCGGAGCUAAUACCGGAUAAUAUUUUGAACCGCAUGGUUCAAAAGUGAAAGACGGUCUUGCUGUCACUUAUAGAUGGAUCCGCGCUGCAUUAGCUAGUUGGUAAGGUAACGGCUUACCAAGGCAACGAUGCAUAGCCGACCUGAGAGGGUGAUCGGCCACACUGGAACUGAGACACGGUCCAGACUCCUACGGGAGGCAGCAGUAGGGAAUCUUCCGCAAUGGGCGAAAGCCUGACGGAGCAACGCCGCGUGAGUGAUGAAGGUCUUCGGAUCGUAAAACUCUGUUAUUAGGGAAGAACAUAUGUGUAAGUAACUGUGCACAUCUUGACGGUACCUAAUCAGAAAGCCACGGCUAACUACGUGCCAGCAGCCGCGGUAAUACGUAGGUGGCAAGCGUUAUCCGGAAUUAUUGGGCGUAAAGCGCGCGUAGGCGGUUUUUUAAGUCUGAUGUGAAAGCCCACGGCUCAACCGUGGAGGGUCAUUGGAAACUGGAAAACUUGAGUGCAGAAGAGGAAAGUGGAAUUCCAUGUGUAGCGGUGAAAUGCGCAGAGAUAUGGAGGAACACCAGUGGCGAAGGCGACUUUCUGGUCCGUAACUGACGCUGAUGUGCGAAAGCGUGGGGAUCAAACAGGAUUAGAUACCCUGGUAGUCCACGCCGUAAACGAUGAGUGCUAAGUGUUAGGGGGUUUCCGCCCCUUAGUGCUGCAGCUAACGCAUUAAGCACUCCGCCUGGGGAGUACGACCGCAAGGUUGAAACUCAAAGGAAUUGACGGGGACCCGCACAAGCGGUGGAGCAUGUGGUUUAAUUCGAAGCAACGCGAAGAACCUUACCAAAUCUUGACAUCCUUUGACAACUCUAGAGAUAGAGCCUUCCCCUUCGGGGGACAAAGUGACAGGUGGUGCAUGGUUGUCGUCAGCUCGUGUCGUGAGAUGUUGGGUUAAGUCCCGCAACGAGCGCAACCCUUAAGCUUAGUUGCCAUCAUUAAGUUGGGCACUCUAAGUUGACUGCCGGUGACAAACCGGAGGAAGGUGGGGAUGACGUCAAAUCAUCAUGCCCCUUAUGAUUUGGGCUACACACGUGCUACAAUGGACAAUACAAAGGGCAGCGAAACCGCGAGGUCAAGCAAAUCCCAUAAAGUUGUUCUCAGUUCGGAUUGUAGUCUGCAACUCGACUACAUGAAGCUGGAAUCGCUAGUAAUCGUAGAUCAGCAUGCUACGGUGAAUACGUUCCCGGGUCU